rnacentral:lncRNA from 1 species
GUCAGGCAGAGAGGUACCACUGGACAUAGAAAGCAAAUGGAGAGACAUGGCAAGGAGAAAGGAUGUCAGUACUGAAGCUACUGCUAAGAGCCAAGAAAGGGGCUGGAAAGAGGACUCAGCUGUCAAGAACACUUGCUUCCUUCCAGACAACUCAGGUUCAACUCCCAGAAUCUUCGUAGGGGCUCACAACUGUGUGAACCUCCAGUCCCAGGGGGGAAUCUGAAACCUCUUCUGGUCUGUGCAAGCACCAGGCACAAAAGUGGUACACAGAUACACACAGAAGCUAAACACCCAUACACAUAAAAUAAAAAUGUAAAAAGGAUGAAUUAAGAGUCCUGUAAACACCACAGGAAGAUGAUGCUCAGAGCCCCCGAGUACCUGACUGUUCUUGCCAUGGAUUCAUGGGACAGAACCAGGUAAUAUCCAGUAUGUAAGAACUUGAGCAUAGUAGAUACUCAGAAUGUGAGUUUGUCGUUGAUUUGUCAUUGAUUUAAAAACAAAUAGAAACAGGACAAUGUGUGAGCGUAAACACCUACGUGACAGGCAAGUCGGACAUUGAUUGUUGGUACAACCAUGUGCAAGAGUCGCUUGGCUACUUUCACUUCCUAUAAACUGUGUUAUUAUAAGAAAACUUUAAUGGGAAAGAGAACCUGAGAUUUCCCACCAUGUAUUCCAAGAUUCAAAAGGAUAAUAGAAACCAGUACUUAGAGGUAAUCUCUGGUCUUCUCUUCAAUAGAUUUUCCAAAAUUCUAUCACACAGAAACUUCAAAGCAAGAAAAAUGAGCCAUUUAUAGGCUGAGGUUUCACCAAAAUUUAUGCCUCAGAACAUAAGAUGUAACUAAGAGGUUCCAUCCAGGACAUUUUCCCAAGAUGAAAGGACUUAGUCUAAAAAGAAGCCCAUCAUCCAUGAAGCAUUUAUGGAAGUCUAGAUUCUGCUAGCCAGCACAAGUUUCUCAAAAACAAGUCUUCACAUCCCUUUUACCCAGGAUCUACUUUCCAUCCCUGCAAAACAGUGCCUAGAGAUGUAGCCCAGCUGGUGGAGUGCUUGUCUCUUGUGUUCGAAUCCCUGUGUUUGAUAGCCAGCACUACAUAAACUGGGUGUGGUGGUGUACACCAAUAAUCCCAGCACCUAGGAGGUAGAGGCAAGAGGAUCAGAAUGUCAAGAUCAAGACAUAGAGCACACUAAAUCAGUGGAUCAACCAAAAACCAAUUGUAACAGGGGCCCAGACCUUAGUGCAACUGACUCCAUGAUGCAAACGCCAUACUGUGAAACUCAGCUUCUCCAGUUUAUUGUCCUAGCCAACUCUUCCUUUCAUUUUGUCUGCCCUAUGUCUGUAUUUUCCCAUACUGGACAGGAUGAGAAGUUGACUUUCGAGCCUGGACUCCCACUUCUCCACUCACUGCCCAGUGAACAGAUUUGUGCUAUUAGUGCUCAGCCUCAGUUUCCCCUUUCAUUUUACAACACCAAGUAUGUCUCUUGGGAGGGCCUUCUCUCUGGGACCAACAGAUGGCAGAUAAAACCUCUCACCCCUUGCUCUAUGCAUCUUGUUUACCUGACUGCCCCUGAUCUGUUUCAUUUUAAAUAACCUGGUAAU